rnacentral:tRNA from 1 species
GGGCCUAUAGUUAAAUGGAUAUAACCAGUCCCUCCUAAGGAUUAGUUCCAGGUUCGAUUCCUGGUGGGCCUACCA